UGGGGAAUAUUGCACAAUGGGGGAAACCCUGAUGCAGCGACGCCGCGUGAGCGAAGAAGGUUUUCGAAUCGUAAAGCUCUGUCCUAUGGGAAGAUAAUGACGGUACCAUAGGAGGAAGCCCCGGCUAACUACGUGCCAGCAGCCGCGGUAAUACGUAGGGGGCAGGCGUUGUCCGGAAUCACUGGGCGUAAAGGGUUCGCAGGCGGAAAUGCAAGUCAGUUGUGAAAGGCAGGGGCUCAACCUCUGUAAGCAAUUGAAACUGUAUUUCUUGAGAUGUGGAGAGGCAAGUGGAAUUCCUAGUGUAGCGGUGAAAUGCGUAGAUAUUAGGAAGAAUAACGGUGGCGAAGGCGACUUGCUGGACACAAACUGACGCUGAGGAACGAAAGCGUGGGUAGCAAACAGG
rnacentral:rRNA from 1 species